AGGGGAAAUGAUCCAGCUUGUUAUUUCUUUGGACAUCUAUGGCCAGUUUUGAUGACUGUAAAUAACUGAAAAUUAACAUAGAUAAAAAUAAAAUAUAAUUAAAUUAAAUUUAUCUAGGUACAGAUAGAUUGUAGUUAAAAGUGUAAGUUAUCUAAAUAAAGAUAACAUUAUUUAUCUGGAUAAAAAAAAGAUUUUAAAAAAGACAUUUUAUAAACUGGCAUACUUCGCAAUAUUGAGUAACUGUUGUAGGAAGGAAGAAUAUAGAUGGUAAUUUCAUUUAUAAUUUA